GCCAGACUCCUACGGGAGGCAGCAGUGGGGGAUAUUGCACAAUGGGGGGAACCCUGAUGCAGCGACGCCGCGUGGGUGAAGGAGCGUUUCGGCGCGUAAAGCCCUAUCGGCAGGGAAGAAGGAGGACGGUACCUGACUAAGAAGCCCCGGCUAACUACGUGCCAGCAGCCGCGGUAAUACGUAGGGGGCAAGCGUUAUCCGGAUUUACUGGGUGUAAAGGGGGCGCAGACGGCAGCGCAAGCCAGGAGUGAAAGCCCGGGGCCCAACCCCGGGACUGCUCUUGGAACUGCGCGGCUGGAGUGCAGGAGGGGCAGGCGGAAUUCCUGGUGUAGCGGUGAAAUGCGUAGAUAUCAGGAGGAACACCGGUGGCGAAGGCGGCCUGCUGGACUGCGACUGACGUUGAGGCCCGAAAGCGUGGGGAGCAAACAGGAUUAGAUACCCCAGUACAC
rnacentral:rRNA from 1 species